rnacentral:rRNA from 1 species
CACGAACCGUACGAACGUUAUUCGGAAUUACUGGGCUUAAAGGGUUUGUAGGCGGCCUUGUAAGUCAGGUGUGAAAGCCCUCGGCUCAACCGAGGAAUAGCGCUUGAUACUGCAAGGCUUGAGGGAGACAGGGGUAAGCGGAACUGAUGGUGGAGCGGUGAAAUGCGUUGAUAUCAUCAGGAACACCGGUGGCGAAAGCGGCUUACUGGGUCUCUUCUGACGCUGAGGAACGAAAGCUAGGGUAGCGAACGGGAUUAGAAACCCCCGUAGUCC